UACAGAGGUCUCAAGCGUUGUUCGGAUUCAUUGGGCGUAAAGGGUGCGUAGGUGGCGCGGUAAGUCGGGUGUGAAAUUUCGGAGCUUAACUCCGAAACUGCAUUCGAUACUGCCGUGCUUGAGGACUGGAGAGGAGACUGGAAUUUACGGUGUAGCAGUGAAAUGCGUAGAGAUCGUAAGGAAGACCAGUGGCGAAGGCGGGUCUCUGGACAGUUCCUGACACUGAGGCAACGAAGGCCCAGGGGAGCAAACGGG
rnacentral:rRNA from 1 species